ensembl:lncRNA
CCUGGACUGAAACAUCACCCCAGGUGGAGCUGGUGAGGUUGAGAAGACUGACAUUUCUCAGCAUCCAGCCACAGGGAGCUGCUGUGGGGCAGGGAAGGGCAUGGAGCUUUCCUUCUUCCUGUGGCUGCACGGUGGGCUGGAAGUGCUGCAGAGUUAAUCACAGCUGUGGGAGCUGAACAACACUGGUGUGCAUUGGAAAGGACCAGAAUGACAUCCCCAUCUCUUGAGCCUUUGAGAAGCAGUGUGAGCUGGAAGGACAGACCCGAGCAGCCCUGUGUGCGGGAGGUGCCCUGCUUGCUAAUUGCCAAGCAGGUUUCUCCCCAGACAUGCUACGUUUUCUGAAAAUCAGAUCGACUGGGAGAGUUUGAUAUGAGAAACAACUUCAGGGCUCUGGUUAGUUAAAAAUAAGAUAAAAAUAGCGCAAGCAGGAUCAGAGACUUGUUGGUGCCAGAGAUUAAAAACCCACGUAGAUCAGGUAGCCCAUCUCCGUUAAUCAAGG